GACCAGAUGCCCGAGCGGUUAAGGGGACAGACUAGAACUACCAAGCUCUUGCCCAUCUGUUAGGCUUUGCCUGCGCAGGUUCAAAUCCUGCUCUGGUCG
rfam:Rhodotorula toruloides ATCC 204091 scaffold00005, whole genome shotgun sequence.